CCUACGGGAGGCUGCAGUGAGGAAUAUUGGUCAAUGGGCGCAAGCCUGAACCAGCCAAGUCGCGUGAGGGAAGACUGCCCUAUGGGUUGUAAACUUCUUUUAUAAGGGAAGAAUAAUGACUCCGUGUAGUCAGAUGCCCUUACCUUAUGAAUAAGCAUCGGCUAACCCCGUGCCAGCAGCCGCGGUAAUACGGAGGAUGAGAGCGUUAUCGGGUUUUAUUGGGUUUAAAGGGUGCUUAGUGGGUAUUUUAAGUUAGUGGUAAAACGUCGGGGCUUCCCCGUGAAUGGCCAUUAAAACUGGCGUACUAGAGUACAGACGAGGUAGGAGGAAUGAGUGGAGUAGCGGUGAAAUGCUUAGAUAUAACAUAGAACACCGAUAGCGAAGGCAGCUUACCAGCCUGUUACUGACGCUGAAGCACGAGAGCGUGGGUAGCGAACAGGAUUAGAUACCCGUGUAGUC
rnacentral:rRNA from 1 species